rnacentral:rRNA from 1 species
UGCCAGCCGCCGCGGUAAUACGAAGGGUGCUAGCGUUGUUCGGAAUCACUGGGCAUAAAGCGCACGUAGGCGGCGCAUUAAGUCAGGUGUGAAAGCCCCCGGCUCAACCGGGGAAUUGCAUCUGAUACUGAUGUGCUAGAGGACGGUUGGGGUGAGUGGAACUCCUGGUGGAGCGGUGAAAUGCGUAGAUAUCAGGAGGAACACCAGUGGCGAAAGCGGCUCACUGGACCGUAUCUGACGCUGAGGUGCGAAAGCUAGGGUAGCAAACAGGAUUAGAUA